CACUCGGUCUCUGAUGUUCUGCUUUCACUUUUUGACAGGUCAGACACUUGGCAACACACUCUACAACAUCACGUUUCAAAUUUGGCCACCAGAAAUGUUGUCAAAGAUCUUGAUACAUCUUGGUACUACCAGGGUGAAUCGAAUAUCGUGAAAUAUGAGUGUUGCUCAAAAUUUCUUCCUUAAUCUCUGGUACUGGUGGUACCCAAAUUCUAUUCUCAAAUCUUAGUAGUCCCUC
rnacentral:lncRNA from 1 species